GCCUUGGUGCCUUCGGGAACGCUGAGACAGGUGCUGCAUGGCUGUCGUCAGCUCGUGUUGUGAAAUGUUGGGUUAAGUCCCGNAACGAGCGCAACCCUUAUCCUUUGUUGCCAGCGAUUCGGUCGGGAACUCAAAGGAGACUGCCGGUGAUAAACCGGAGGAAGGUGGGGAUGACGUCAAGUCAUCAUGGCCCUUACGAGUAGGGCUACACACGUGCUACAAUGGCGCAUACAAAGAGAAGCGACCUCGCGAGAGCAAGCGGACCUCAUAAAGUGCGUCGUAGUCCGGAUCGGAGUCUGCAACUCGACUCCGUGAAGUCGGAAUCGCUAGUAAUCGUGGAUCAGAAUGCCACGGUGAAUACGUUCCCGGGCCUUGUACACACCGCCCGUCACACCAUGGGAGUGGGUUGCAAAAGAAGUAGGUAGCUUAACCUUCGGGAGGGCGCUUACCACUUUGUGAUUCAUGACUGGGGUGAAGUCGUAACAAGGUAGGCGUAGCGAG
rnacentral:rRNA from 1 species